rnacentral:misc_RNA from 1 species
GAUGAAGAACGUAGCGAAAUGCGAUACUUGGUGUGAAUUGCAGAAUCCCGUGAACCAUCGAGUCUUUGAACGCAAGUUGCGCCCGAAGCCAUUAGGCCGAGGGUACGCCUGCCUGGGCGUCACACGUCGUUGCCCCCCCAUCUACUCCUUCGGGAUUGCGGGGGGCGGAUGAUGGCCUCCCGUGCGCCUCGUCGCGCGGUUGGCAUAAAUGCCAAGUCCUCGGCGACGCACGCCACGACAAUCGGUGGUUGCGAAACCUCGGUUGCCCGUCGUGUGCGGUCGUCGCGCAUCGAGGGCUCGAAAAAAUUGCCGGGCUCCGGCUCGGCUUUCAACGCGACCCCAGGUCAGGCGGGGUUACCCGCUGAAUUUAAGCAUAUCAAUAAGCGGAGGA